ensembl:lncRNA
AGCUGUUACCCCUUCGGUUUGUUCCAAACCCUUCAUAGCUUCUUCCUUUCUGUCCUCCUUUUUCUUUUCUAUUUAUAUUUUCCUAUUUUCUUUUCUCUCUGCAUUUCUAAUCCUGCACCUCUGUCUUCUAUAUGACCUAAUGUCAGCCUGCCUUGGACUCUAUUGGAAUCCAGCACUACCUGAUGGAAACUUGGCGUGGUCAGUGCCCACUGGUAACUGUCAAGGCCUUUCCAUGCCUCAGUUCAGCUCCCUGAGAAGCUAUCGAGUGUCACAGCAUGUCACAGGCCACAGGCCAGCACACGGAGGGGUUCAUCUGAUGUCAGGUGCUGUCUCCAGGUCCAUUUAGCUGUGAUGAACACGGGGCCCGAGUGAUACAAGGUUGUCAAAGAGCCAAGGAGACGGAGUUUUGAUCUUUCGGGGCUACAAUUUCAAAUGAUAAAUAGCCUAAUUCUGGGAGUUCUCUUUGGAGUAACAAUGGUAACCUGAGUGCAAGAAACACAAGCACGCCAGGCCUCCCUGUCCAUCACCAACUCCCGGAGUUCACUGAGACUCACGUUCAUCCAGUCAGUGAUGCCAUCCAGCCAUCUCAUCCUCUGUCGUCCCCUUCUCCUCCUGCCCCCAAUCCCUCCCAGCAUCAGAGUCCUUUCCAAUGAGUCAACUCUUCGAUGGACAUAUACACACCGCCAUGUGAAAAGACAGACGGCUGCGGGAAGCUGCAGUGUGGCAAAAGGAGCUCAGCUCCCGGCUCUGUGAUGACCCGGGGGCGGGGC